rnacentral:lncRNA from 1 species
CCUAUAUCACAUUGUUUUGGUGUGUCCAUCGAGCAUUUGGUGAAAAAUGUUCGUCCGGUGAGCAGUGCUUUGGUGCGUGCAUGUGAAAUGGGUCUCGACUCCAAAUGGGGCGGGCUCGGUUGGAUAUGUACGGCGACCCUCCAUAUUUUGGCUAGUCUAUGGAACGUGGACUGCCAAAUAUUCCCGUUUCCCCUCUUCCGCCGAUGCAAGGGGACAUGUUCGGGGGCUUUGGUGGCGGCGGCGGGUUUGGGGGAGGAGCAGGGGGCUUCGGAGGCGGUUUUGGAGGGGGCGGAGGGUUUGGCGGCGGGGGAACAUUCUCCCUUUCCCCCUUUUUCCGAUGCCGUUUGACAUGGGAGGAUUUGGACAACCAGGCGUCAUAAUCACCAACAUCACCAUCCCUGGAGGUCCGGCGGGUCCUGGAGGAUCAGGACCUGGAUCGUCACCUCGGCCGACCGGCGGAAGUGCUCCAGGCGGCUCAACGCCUUCAGGAGGAGGGAGCUCGCGGCCACCAUCGGGCCCUAGCUCAUCGCCGAGACCUUCGGGACCUCCAGGAGGCGGAGGAACAGGAGGCGGAUCAGGUCAACCAGGACGGCCAGGAGGUCCAGGGGCGGGCGGACCUCCCGGAGGAGCAGGCGGCCCCGGGGGAGGUGGUUCUCCCGGAGGUCCUGGAGCUCCAGGCGGGGCGCGACCCCCUGGAGCAGGGGGGCCUGGGGGUUCAGGAGGAGGCAGCUCGCCCCGGCCUCCAUCAGCCCCGGGUGGGGCCGGCGGAGGAUCUUCCCCGAGACCUGGUGGUGCACCAGGAGGAGCCGGCGGACCCGGAGGUGGUGGACCAGGCGGUCCAGGCGGGAGACCCGGUAGUGCACCUGGAGGAGCAGGGGGGCCUGGAGGUGGUGGACCAGGUGGCCCAGGUGGGGGUUCGUCCCCAAGACCCGGUGGUGCACCCGGAGGAGGUGGGCCAGGUGGCCCAGGUGGGGGUUCGUCCCCAAGACCCGGUGGCGCUCCGGGUGGAAGUGCGCCAGGGGGAGGGGCUAGACCAACUGGCGCUGGUGGACCUGGUGGUCCUGGGGGUGCGGGAGGUGCAGGUGGACCUGGAGGAGCAGGUGGAGGUGCUGGUGGACCUGGAGGUUCUGGAGGUGCCGGUGGACCUGGAGGUCCGGGCGGUGGUGGACCUGGUGGUGGAGGUUCAUCGCCAAGACCGAUGCCAGGGUCGAGUCCCCGACCCCCAAGCGGACCUGGCACAUCCCCUCGACCUUCUGGACCCCCUGGACAACCAACAAGACCUCCCACCACCGCCACCGUAUACUACAUCUAUCCUCAAUGGUGUAACGUGUGGUGCCGUCUGUACUAUAAACCAAAACCGGUGUACUACACGCCAUCCUGUCUACUUUAUGGUUGGAUGGGCUAUGGUGGCGGUUUCGGCUGGUAGAAGUUCCUUUAUGGGUAUCGUUAACAUCGGCUGAAAAGUUGGGCUUCAACGCUUUACAUUAUUAUACUUAAAUUCCUUACUUUCUAAUCCCUCUGUUGCUGGAAACUAGUUGUUAAAUGGUAAUACUCUCUAAUUUUCAUUCUGUUUGAUAACACAUAGAAUCAAAGGCAUUUUGAAAAAAUAGAAAGAAAACAGCCAGAAUACCAAUAAUAGUAGUUAUUCAUAUCGCAAAUUCGCGUACAUAACCUAAUCACGCUCUGAAGAGAGCUGCGGACCGAUUAUUGAAACUGAUAGACAAAGCGAUAGACAAAGAAGACAUAGGAAGUAUAGACCGAUCCUAUCGGUUGAAAUGGGUAGUUCUUAUAGACUGAGGGAGAAAAUGAUGGACUAACUAUCGGGUCUCUAUUGGGUUGCCGUUAGUUAGUCUAUUACCUACGUCCUUUGUCCAUUGCAAACACCCGCUUCCACCAAUAGGAUCCUUCCAUAUCCUUUUUUCCCUCUUUGUCUAUUGCUAUGCCUAUUAAUUUCAAUAAUCAGCCCGCUGCACGCUGUAAAAUCGGAACUAGCUGGCUUUGUAGGUGUUAGAUACAUACCUACUAUUUACUUUCGUUUUGUUAUGCCGAAAGAAGUGGAGUUUCCAACCUGAACACCUGCCCGUAAGAUGCUCAUGACAAAAUGACGACGCAUUUAGUGCCAUAUCUUUCAGUCGGAUCUCAUGAGGGCAAAACAUUUUACUGAAGAAGCAUUCCAACGUACAUGUAAAUGGCGUUUGAACUUUUGAAUGGUUCUCAUUCUCAGGAGAGUAUAUUUUAAAUUAUUCCAUACCCGCAGUUUUAAAUUUUAGAAUGAACAUAUCUGAUAAUUUACCGUAAAUGGAAUGCAUAUAAAAAGUUCAAAUUUAGUAUCGUUUAGAGAUGUAAACUAGACUGUCACUCGCAUCAAAAACUGAGAAACAAAAAAUCAACGGUCGAUUAAUCCGUAAAAGCAUCGAAACCAACAGGAUGUACUACCUUAAUUAGUUGUCUAGUUUAGUCUUGAUUGUUUCUCCUUGUUCACUCUUUAGGCUUUUUUGGGUAGGUUUUUUAUCAUUUUUUUUAUAAAAUGUUGCCCAAUAUUUAUAUCGAACAUUUGUUUUAUUUUUAAGUAAUUUAUUUUCAAUGAAUAACUGUUGUUCAUUAUACUGUUCAUUACUAUUUAUUAUGGAUUAAAUUAAUUUAUUGAUACUGCAA